rnacentral:lncRNA from 1 species
UUACAGUCCUCGAGGAUGUCACAUUACAACUUUUUGAAGUUAGUGUGCUCGAGGAUUACAGUCCUCGAGGAUGUCACAUUACAACUUUUUGAAGUUAGUGUGCUCGAGGAUUACAGUCCUCGAGAAUGUCACAGUUCAAAGUCUAGUUGUGCUCGAGGAUUACAGUCCUCGAGAAUGUCACUCAAUUUUUAAAGUUUGGUUGUGCUCGGGACUACGGUCCUCGAGAAUGCCUUAAUCUUUAAGACUAAUUAUUCUCGAGGUUUACAGUCCUCAAGAAUGUCACAUCAUCAUAUUUUUAUUGUUGCUCGAGAAUGUACGUCUCACCUUUUAAUCCCUUAAAUACACUCGAGUUGUGGAAUCCUCGAGUAAACACUUCAAUAUCGCGCGAGCAGUAAAGUUUCGAAUUUGAUUGCUCGAUUGUAUGGAGUCCAAGAGGUCGAGAUAAAUAGUUCGAAUAAAGUAACUAAAGUUUAUACAUAAUCCUCGAUCAAUUUACAUUGUCAAAAUUAAAAAGUUACAAAGGAUCGGGGUGGGGAUGUCAUCCAAUGUGGCCAAGAGGAGGGUCGAGGUUGCUGAUGUCGAUCUCAACGUCGUCCUCAGGACCUUCCUCAUCAUCUCCACCCGAUCCUCCUCCAUCUUCCGAACCCGAGAGCUCCAAUGUAUCAGCAAUGGAAGGCACCGUCUUCAGGUCGUCUGGAGUAACGUCGGGCAACUUCUGCCUGAGGAAGGCCCGGGCUUCUUUCAGAGCAUGGAAGUACGCCCCCGACGCAUACUCCCCUUUUAUCUUGUCGCAGUCCUCGGAGGUUUUAAACUCCUCCCAAGCCCUCUCCUUGACAGCAUCGAGCUCGCGCCCGAAAUCCUCUGUCUUCUGGAUGAGCUCGAGCCUCGCCCCCUCGACCUCAUCCUUUGCUGCAACCAAGUCAUCCCUGGCCUUCGCAGCCUCCCUCCUUGCGUCAUCACGCUCCUUCAGUAAAACCUCGACCUGGGCCUCGAGGUCUUGAAUCCUGCUGUCCUUAGAGGCCAUGGACGUCUCGACCCCAGCUGCCCUCUUGGCCUCCUCGAGCCCUUGCAGAGAGAGUCCUCGAGCUAUACUCAACAUCUGGAAAAAAUGAAGAAAAUGUCAAGUGUUAAGCUCGACCAAUAAACUCGAGGUUAAAGUCAAAAGUUCAAAGAUUACCUUCACUGUAAGACCCUCGAGGACCUUCAUCCCAUCCUCGAGCUUGACCUCCUCUUUGUAUUUGUUUACAAGCUCAAGAGCGAGGUGACAAGUCCCAAAGUCCCCAGUGAGAGACGGCUCAUCCUCGAGGUCAACCACUUCAGAAGGAGGCCGAGGAGUGACGACCCGAGGAGUCGGAGAUCUGAGGUUCGGUUGCAGAGGGGUCGAGACUUCUGGAUGUCCUCGAGAAGUUUCGCCAGGCCCCUUCGCACCCUCAGGACCCCCUCGAGGCCUCUUCUUGCUUUUCUUCCUCGAGGGCUGCCCCUGUGGAGGGGCGCCUCCCCUUGUGUUGACAAAAUUCCGGAGAGCACGAGGAUCAAAAGACAUACCUGCAAAUAUUUACAAACAUUUUAGAACGAGCAUAAGGUCAGGGUAUAUUUCAAAAAAUAACAAUAAAGGAACAUCCCUACCCUCGACGCCUCUAAUAUCUGCCAGGUCUAAAACCUCUUCCCCAA